rnacentral:lncRNA from 1 species
GCCACCACACCCGGCUAAUUUUUGUAUUUUUGGUAGAGAUUGGGUUUCACCAUGUUGUCCAGGCUGGUCUCGAACUGACCUCGUGAUCUGCCCGCCUCAGCCUCCCAAAGCGCUGGGAUUAUAGGCGUGAGCCACCGCGCCUGGCCCAAAUCCACCAUUUUCUAGCUCUGUAGUUUGAGGCAAGUGAAUGCAUCUUGCUGGACCUCAGUUCCCCCAUCUGUAAUAAGAAGAUCAUAAAAUUCCUCACAGUGUUUUGCAAAGAUUUGACAGGUUAACUCACACAGGUGUGCCUCAGCCCAGGCUUGAACCAAGCCCUUGAAAUGGACAGAAAUUUCUCUGCUGACCUCAGUGAGCUCCGCAUUUUGUAGCCCUAGCCUGCAUAUGUGAUCCACUAAGGGACUCCUCCGUUUGGAAACAGAGAUGGUCAGGUCCUGCUGCAGCUCACAGAGCCUGUUGGCAGCUGCGCUGGGACCAGAUGCCCCAUGCCACCCUGAAUAACCCUUCUGACCCAUGCUGCCCGCCACCACCUGCUCCACUGAGGCCUUGGCCUGCCAGGGCUGGGAGGCACCUUUGCCAGCCUUCCUGGGGCCAGCCCAGCUGAGAUCUCUGGGAGGUGAGUCUGGAGGCCAGGGAGCCGGGCCGGGUGAACUUUUAUUUUUAUAGCUGUCAUCAGAUCCCUGCCCUAGCCCUGGAGCCCUGGCAGGGACAGGGGUGGCCAAGGAGGAGGAAGACUCCUCAGAGAGGCUGGUGGGUGGGAGUCAGCAGUCCUCUCAUGCCACAUGGCACCAGUCAUCAAGCUCGCCUGGCUGACCCUCUUGUGGGGUGGUGAGGGACAAAGGGACAACAGGGACCCUUUCCUGCUUUUAUUCUUGCAGGUCAGAUGCAGAGCUAAUUAUGCUUUCCAGUUCUUAGGACACGAUUGUCAUCAGUCCUUGCAAAGCCUGCAUUGCGCUUUAGUCUAUUUUCCCGUGCAUCACAUUUUUUUCUCUUUCUUUCUUAGUGAAAUAUACACACACAGCAAUGUGCACAUAACACAGAUAUACAGCUCUGUGAAUUUUCCUGGUGUUGACCCACCAGUGUCCAGAUCAAGAAGAGAUCAUUCCAGCACCCCUGAAGCCUUUUGUGUCCCUUCUAGCCACCCCUCUUCCACACCUAAGGGUAAUCAUUAUUCUGAUUUCUAACAGCAAACAUUAAUUUUGCCUGUUUCUAUGCUUUUAUAGAAAUGAAAUCACACAAUAGAUGCUGUUUAUGUCUGGCUUCUUUUAUUAAGUAUUGUAACUAACAUUCAUUCAAGUUGUUGUGUGUAUCAGUAUUUAUGCCUUUUUAUUACUGAGCAAAAUGACAUUACAUGGACACACCACAAUGGAUUUACCCAUUCGAUCCCUCAUGGACAUUCAGGUUGUUACCAGUUUUGAGCUCUUUAGAAUUGGGCUGAGAUGAAUAUUUGAGGGAUCAUGUCUUUUUUUUUUUUUUUUUUUUUUCUUGAGACAGACUUGUGCUGUCUCCCAGGCUGGAGUGCAGUGGUGCAAUAUUGGCUCACUGCAGCCUCUGUCUCCCAGGUUCAAGUGAUUCUCGUGCUCAGCCUCC